rnacentral:rRNA from 1 species
GACCGCAAACCGACACAGGUAGGCGAGAUGAGAAUUCUCAGGCGCUUGAGAGAACCCAGGUGAAGGAACUCGGCAAAUUAGCACCGUAACUUCGGGAGAAGGUGCGCCCCGGUAGAUUGUAGUGGCUUGCCCACGAAGGUCGAUGGGGUUGCAGUGAAAAGGUGGCUGCGACUGUUUAACAAAAACACAGCACUCUGCAAACACGAAAGUGGACGUAUAGGGUGUGACUCCUGCCCGGUGCCGGAAGGUUAAUUGAUGGGGUGCAAGCUCUUGAUCGAAGCCCCGGUAAACGGCGGCCGUAACGAUAACGGUCCUAAGGUAGCGAAAUUCCUUGUCGGGUAAGUUCCGACCCGCACGAAUGGAGUAACGAUGGCCACACUGUCUCCACCUGGGACUCAGCGAAAUUGAAAUGGUUGUGAAGAUGCAAUCUACCCGCGGCUAGACGGAAAGACCCCGUGCACCUUUACUGUAGCUUUACAUUGGACUUUGACAAGACGUGUGUAGGAUAGGUGGGAGACUAUGAAGUGGGAACGCUAGUUCUCAUGGAGUCAACCUUGAAAUACCACCCUCGUGUUGUUGAGGUUCUAACCUUGGUCCAUCAUCUGGAUUGGGGACAGUGUAUGGUAGGCAGUUUGACUGGGGCGGUCUCCUCCCAAAGAGUAACGGAGGAGUUCGAAGGUAUCCUAGAUACGGUCGGAAAUCGUAUUGAUAGUGCAAUGGCAUAAGGAUGCUUGACUGCGAGACUGACACGUCGAGCAGGUGCGAAAGCAGGACAUAGUGAUCCGGUGGUUCUGUAUGGAAGGGCCAUCGCUCAACGGAUAAAAGGUACGCCGGGGAUAACAGGCUGAUACCGCCCAAGAGUUCAUAUCGACGGCGGUGUUUGGCACCUCGAUGUCGGCUCAUCACAUCCUGGGGCUGUAGCCGGUCCCAAGGGUAUGGCUGUUCGCCAUUUAAAGUGGUACGUGAGCUGGGUUCAAAACGUCGUGAGACAGUUUGGUCCCUAUCUACCGUGGGCGCUGGAAGUUUGAGGGGGGCUGCUUCUAGUACGAGAGGACCGAAGUGGACGCACCUCUGGUGUACCGGUUGUCACGCCAGUGGCAUAGCCGGGUAGCUAUGUGCGGAAAAGAUAAUCGCUGAAAGCAUCUAAGCGAGAAACUUGCCUCAAGAUAAGACUUCCCUGGAGACUCGAUCUCCCUAAAGGGUCGUUGCAGACUACAACGUUGAUAGGCUGGGUGUGUAAGCGCAGUAAUGCGUUGAGCUAACCAGUACUAAUUGCCCGUGAGGCUUGAUCC